ACUCCUACGGGAGGCAGCAGUGAGGAAUAUUGGACAAUGGAGGGAACUCUGAUCCAGCCAUGCCGCGUGCAGGAUGACGGCCCUAUGGGUUGUAAACUGCUUUUAUACGGGAAUAAACCUCUCUACGUGUAGAGAGCUGAAGGUACCGUAAGAAUAAGGACCGGCUAACUCCGUGCCAGCAGCCGCGGUAAUACGGAGGGUCCAAGCGUUAUCCGGAUUUAUUGGGUUUAAAGGGUCCGCAGGCGGGAUAUUAAGUCAGUGGUGAAAGCCUACAGCUUAACUGUAGCACUGCCAUUGAUACUGGUAUUCUUGAGUGUGGUUGAAGUGGGCGGAAUAUGUCAUGUAGCGGUGAAAUGCAUAGAUAUGACAUAGAACACCUAUUGCGAAGGCAGCUCACU
rnacentral:rRNA from 1 species